rnacentral:rRNA from 1 species
UGGGGAAUUUUGGACAAUGGGCGAAAGCCUGAUCCAGCAAUGCCGCGUGAGUGAAGAAGGCCUUCGGGUUGUAAAGCUCUUUUGUCAGGGAAGAAACGGUGUGGGCUAAUAUCCUGCACUAAUGACGGUACCUGAAGAAUAAGCACCGGCUAACUACGUGCCAGCAGCCGCGGUAAUACGUAGGGUGCAAGCGUUAAUCGGAAUUACUGGGCGUAAAGCGUGCGCAGGCGGUUUUGUAAGUCUGUCGUGAAAUCCCCGGGCUCAACCUGGGAAUUGCGAUGGAGACUGCAAGGCUAGAAUCUGGCAGAGGGGGGUAGAAUUCCACGUGUAGCAGUGAAAUGCGUAGAGAUGUGGAGGAACACCGAUGGCGAAGGCAGCCCCCUGGGUCAAGAUUGACGCUCAUGCACGAAAGCGUGGGGAGCAAACAGGAUUAGAUACCCUGGUAGUCCACGCCCUAAACGAUGUCUACUAGUUGUCGGGUUUUAAUUAACUUGGUAACGCAGCUAACGCGUGAAGUAGACCGCCUGGGGAGUACGGUCGCAAGAUUAA